AGACCCGAAACCCGGUGAUCUAGCCAUGGGCAGGUUGAAGGUUGGGUAACACUAACUGGAGGACCGAACCGACUAAUGUUGAAAAAUUAGCGGAUGACCUGUGGCUGGGGGUGAAAGGCCAAUCAAACCGGGAGAUAGCUGGUUCUCCCCGAAAGCUAUUUAGGUAGCGCCUCGUGAAUUCAUCUCCGGGGGUAGAGCACUGUUUCGGCUAGGGGGCCAUCCCGGCUUACCAACCCGAUGCAAACUGCGAAUACCGGAGAAUGUUAUCACGGGAGACACACGGCGGGUGCUAACGUCCGUCGUGAAGAGGGAAACAACCCAGACCGCCAGCUAAGGUCCCAAAGUCAUGGUUAAGUGGGAAACGAUGUGGGAAGGCCCAGACAGCCAGGAUGUUGGCUUAGAAGCAGCCAUCAUUUAAAGAAAGCGUAAUAGCUCACUGGUCGAGUCGGCCUGCGCGGAAGAUGUAACGGGGCUAAACCAUGCACCGAAGCUGCGGCAGCGAACGUAUCACCCAAGACAACUUUACGGAGUUGACGAUUGACGGAGCGAAGCGACGUCAAAGCGUUCAUUAAAGUCGAGUUGGCUUAGGGAUACGUUCGUUGGGUAGGGGAGCGUUCUGUAAGCCUGUGAAGGUGUGUCGUGAGGCAUGCUGGAGGUAUCAGAAGUGCGAAUGCUGACAUAAGUAACGAUAAAGCGGGUGAAAAGCCCGCUCGCCGGAAGACCAAGGGUUCCUGUCCAACGUUAAUCGGGGCAGGGUGAGUCGACCCCUAAGGCGAGGCCGAAAGGCGUAGUCGAUGGGAAACGGGUUAAUAUUCCCGUACUUGGUGUUACUGCGAAGGGGGGACGGAGAAGGCUAUGUUGGCCGGGCGACGGUUGUCCCGGUUUAAGCGUGUAGGUGUGUGUUCCAGGUAAAUCCGGUUCACUUUAACACUGAGGCGUGACGACGAGGCACUACGGUGCUGAAGCAACAAAUGCCCUGCUUCCAGGAAAAGCCUCUAAGCAUCAGGUAACACGAAAUCGUACCCCAAACCGACACAGGUGGUCAGGUAGAGAAUACCAAGGCGCUUGAGAGAACUCGGGUGAAGGAACUAGGCAAAAUGGUGCCGUAACUUCGGGAGAAGGCACGCUGACACGUAGGUGAAGUGAUUUACUCACGGAGCUGAAGUCAGUCGAAGAUACCAGCUGGCUGCAACUGUUUAUUAAAAACACAGCACUGUGCAAACACGAAAGUGGACGUAUACGGUGUGACGCCUGCCCGGUGCCGGAAGGUUAAUUGAUGGGGUCAGCGUAAGCGAAGCUCCUGAUCGAAGCCCCGGUAAACGGCGGCCGUAACUAUAACGGUCCUAAGGUAGCGAAAUUCCUUGUCGGGUAAGUUCCGACCUGCACGAAUGGCGUAAUGAUGGCCAGGCUGUCUCCACCCGAGACUCAGUGAAAUUGAACUCGCUGUGAAGAUGCAGUGUACCCGCGGCAAGACGGAAAGACCCCGUGAACCUUUACUAUAGCUUGACACUGAACAUUGAGCCUUGAUGUGUAGGAUAGGUGGGAGGCUUUGAAGUGUGGACGCCAGUCUGCAUGGAGCCGACCUUGAAAUACCACCCUUUAAUGUUUGAUGUUCUAACGUGGACCCGUAAUCCGGGUUGCGGACAGUGUCUGGUGGGUAGUUUGACUGGGGCGGUCUCCUCCUAAAGAGUAACGGAGGAGCACGAAGGUUGGCUAAUCCUGGUCGGACAUCAGGAGGUUAGUGCAAUGGCAUAAGCCAGCUUGACUGCGAGCGUGACGGCGCGAGCAGGUGCGAAAGCAGGUCAUAGUGAUCCGGUGGUUCUGAAUGGAAGGGCCAUCGCUCAACGGAUAAAAGGUACUCCGGGGAUAACAGGCUGAUACCGCCCAAGAGUUCAUAUCGACGGCGGUGUUUGGCACCUCGAUGUCGGCUCAUCACAUCCUGGGGCUGAAGUAGGUCCCAAGGGUAUGGCUGUUCGCCAUUUAAAGUGGUACGCGAGCUGGGUUUAGAACGUCGUGAGACAGUUCGGUCCCUAUCUGCCGUGGGCGCUGGAGAACUGAGGGGGGCUGCUCCUAGUACGAGAGGACCGGAGUGGACGCAUCACUGGUGUUCGGGUUGUCAUGCCAAUGGCACUGCCCGGUAGCUAAAUGCGGAAGAGAUAAGUGCUGAAAGCAUCUAAGCACGAAA
rnacentral:rRNA from 1 species